GAGGCUCUUCCGAUUUGCCCUUUAUUGUCACUGGUCACAGGUACCAGCGAAAUUAGCCAUCCACCUGUCCAUACAUACAAUAUGACAAGGGGGUAGACAGGACAGGAGGACAGGGAAUUUAAGAAAGAAAUACAGCAUAACAUGAGGGAGGGGAGGAGAUAAAAAAACAGACCCCAGACUAUGCUCCUAUGGGGAGCACAGUGUGGGAACAGGAA